rnacentral:rRNA from 1 species
AUCGAACGCUGGCGGCAGGCCUAACACAUGCAAGUCGAACGAGUGGCGGACGGGUGAGUAAUGUCUGGGAAACUGCCUGAUGGAGGGGGAUAACUACUGGAAACGGUAGCUAAUACCGCAUACCAUCGGAUGUGCCCAGAUGGGAUUGGCCAGUAGGUGGGGUAAAGGCUCACCAAGGCGACGAUCCCUAGCUGGUCUGAGAGGAUGACCAGCCACACUGGAACUGGGACACGGUCCGGACUCCUACGGGAGGCAGCAGUGGGGAAUAUUGCACAAUGGGCGCAAGCCUGAUGCAGCCAUGCCGCGUGUAUGAAGAAGGCCUUCGGGUUGUAAAGUACUUUCAGCGGGGAGACGUUACCCGCAGAGAAAGCACCGGCUAACUCCGUGCCAGCCGCCGCGGUAAUAC